UCGUCCUACCUACUUGGCUAAAUCAUAAACAUCACAAGAUGCCUCAGCACUGUGCGGCUAAUCUUUGCUCAAAUCGACGGACUGUUGACGUUAGGACUCGGGGGAUAACUUUUCACAAGCACUUGCAAAUAUCCCGUUUUCGUUUUGAAGGUUUCCCAAAGACAAAAAUGUGAGGAAGAAGUGGGAAGCGACUUUGCAGAGAGAGGGAUUCACUGCAAGUGAUUCAUCAGUGCUGUGCAGUGAGCAUUUUAAACAGGAUGAUUUUGACAGAACCGGUCAGAUUGUCCGACUGAGAGAUGGUGCUAUUCCAUCAAUCUUCAGCUUCCCUGCUGACCUCCAAAGACCAGAAAAGUGCAGGACGACAGUAACCUCCAUAAAAGUUGAACCUAGCCUGUCUGUGGCCUCUCAGGAUGCCACAGAAACUUGUACCUCACAGCCGCAACCUCAGUCUAUUGAUGAUCAUGGCUACGCCUUGCCAGCUUCUCUUUCCGCUGUUGCGGCUAAACUGAAGGAAGCCUUGGCAAGAGUGGAAAGUCUAGAGCGGGAAAAGAAAAACGCCAUGGCCAGAGAAAAGAGGGCAAAGACCACAGUUCAGUCUCUAUUGGUGGAUUUGAGUGACAAGAAACUAAUAAAUAAGAAGCUCAGAGAGAGGCUUGAACUAUACUCAGAUCUUCAGCUGGACUUCUUGGAAAAGCAGGGCCAUGAGUACACAAAGGAGCACAGAGAGUUUGCCCUCACACUCCAUCUGCACAGUCCAAAGGCAUACAAGUACCUCCGGGACACUGGAAAAUUGCCCCUCCCACAUCCACAUACAUUACAAAGAUGGCUGGAGUAACAAUCCAUCUGCAUGCCAGUUCCAGGACGUCUGAUGGUUCGAUGUGGUGGCUCACCUAGUGGGACAGGCAAUGUGGCUGCCCAACAUGAUGACGUGUACCUGUCACCUUUAGAUGUCCUCUGCUUGAAUUGCUGAAGAGUAACAAUCUCCAUUUCAGCUGUUGUGUGCGACCAUGGCUAUCUUCCAACUAAGUUUGGUGAUCUGGUGGAAAAUGCUCUGGUCUAUACAGCAGGAUUCGUAGCAGAUUCUAUGAAAACUGCUGUGUCGCGUGAGCUGGUCAGAAAUGUUACGUCAUCAUCAUUUGAUGAGAACUACCACCUCCUAACCCUGAACAUGGUUGCCCUUGUGAUUCCAUCACAGGGCACUGUGAAGCUGCUGAGAGCUGAGAUACUGGAGCUUCAACACAGCAACCUCCAAAGGUGUCAACCAUUGCACACAUUGUUCGCAAAGACACUGGAGAAGAUUAGACAUAAU